CUGAAGUCAAUAUUUUCAAAACCAAAGUCCCAAAUUCUCUCUCGUGCGUGCCUGGCCAUCCUAAACCUUACUGGUAGCCGGAGAAUGGCGUAAAACGGCGGCGAUCUUCUUCUUCAUCUUAUUAUCUCUCUCAUCGUUUCAGGUAAGCUUGUGAUUAUGAGUUUCUUCUCUUUCUUAGCUUGUAAUUAUAGGUUUUGAUUUCUUUAAUUCGUAUUGUAACCAUUAAUGUCAAUUUUUGUCCCGCCGGCAAUAUUUCUUGUUCCUAGAAGUUGAAGCCCUUCUGUUCUUGUUCCAUUGGUGACUUUGCUCACUCAAAUUAAUUUUGUUCUGCAGAAUUUACAAAGUUCAAAUGGAUUCAUUUGGAUUACUAUUGAAUUUAGCUUUCAUUUCAACAUUCAUUCUAAUGUUUUACAAUCAUGUAUUUAGAUUUACUUUUAUUUUAUGUUUAAAGCUUCUACAAUGAAUAGCGGAGCUUGGGUUUUAGUUUCAUUUUCUAAUUAACUUGUUUUAGUUUAUCUUAUAUGCUCUGCUGUACCGUACAUCCGCCUUGGCCGUACAGCAGUAUAAACAAAUUAAAUGGCCAAUUAAUUAGUAACUCAUGUGCUAUCUAUUAAUUAAUGUUAAAAUAUCAUCUUAGGUCUCUAGCUGCUUUACUUACUUGCAUAAUGCCACUUGAACCAGGUAAAUCCUGCAUUUAAGAAUAUCCUUAAUGUAUUAGCAGCCGAUAUGUAUACAGUAUCAAUCUACACAUAUUUUAAGACAUUGCAGUCUUGCAGCAAACCAUUUCAACGCCAGCCAUUACCUAUAAUGAUGAAACUACACACAGUAGAUAUUUACCAGGGGAAGUACGGCAAGAUAACAUGUAUCAGUGUUCAAUACCAGGAGCAGAUAUUGCUUUAAUCAUUUAUUAUUCUUUUGGAACUGCAUUAACCAUGCAAAAAUCUUUCAACGGGAGAGAGAAAAAAAAAAUCCACUAAAUUGUAACCUUGAGCCUUGGAUUGAUAAGAAUAACUGGCCGAGUCCCAGCAGCAUCAGUCAUGGCUUUCAUAUCCUGCAUAAAAUUUUUUUAAGUUGAGAAUUGAAAGCUAAGUGCAAAGCAUAUAGGCAGAGCGCUCUCAAAAUGCACAAUUGAGCAGUUCCAUCCAAGCUUCUUACGUCUAUAAUACAAUUCCCUACAGCAUUUUGGGGAGCGACUAAGAUGAACAUGUCAUCUUGUUCAUCAACUUCGUUGGCACCUGCAAUUAAGAUCAUACAAAUUCUUACUUAACCAAGUUGUACAAAGAAAAUUCCACACAAUAUCUGUUGUUUAUCACAGUUUGUUACUCAGUUAUCUACCUAUGGAGCCAAUCUCGACAAACGUCCCCUUAGCACCAUAAUCACCCCAAUCCAUGAACUCCAAAAUCUUACGAGUACCAGCUAGCUGCAGUGGCAUUCCAGCAAGUGCUCCUUCCCCCAUGGACCCUUGAACACAGACCUGAAAGACAGAUGAAAGAUAACAAGUCUAAGCAAACAACAUUAACGCAUAUACAAUGUUCAAAUUGUUGUGCCAUUAAUGCCAAAUACACCUUGACACGUUUUCCAUCAUCAGCAAAUGAAAGAGCAAUAACUCUAACAAGUUCCAUCAAGGUCCCUAUUCGAUAAACGUCCUGUUCAUAAUAAAAUAAGGGUAAAUCCAAACAGUUUGAUGGAGAAAUUUUAGUUUUUAAAGGAUAGACCCCCUUACCAUUUCCGGGUUCAGUUCAGGAAUAUUAAUCUCCACCUGCCAAUAUGGCAUGCAAAUUUAGAAAAAACAAAAACUAAGUUGCCUCUUGGUGGGUUAAUGAAAUCAAUCCAACAAAAAAUGUUAUAUAUAUUAAUAAUCUGACCUUCAAUCGAGUUCUUCCAUCAUUUACAGCCCUCUGUGUUGCUUGUAGCACAUCAUCAUAGAAAUAAUUCCUGAUUUCUCUAGAAUGAGGAAUGUUAUUCAAUCUAGUGGGAAUUCCUUUCCAGUUAUCCUGAAAACUUUUAAAGCAAAAUAAGAAAAGCUACUUGUACAGACCUACUCAUUGCAACUUUGUGUAGAUGAAGAAAUGGUGUUAGUAUAAAACAGUGUAUGCAUUAUACCUGGCUUGACGAUACCUGAUUUGAUCGGCUCUUACGUUCAUGCACUGGUUUUACUGAAAUAGAAGAGGAAACAAGACAGAGUUAGAUGUAUGGCAGAAGUUACAUUUUUAACGUUAUAUAGCAAACAGAAAUCCCCAUAACAGAACUCAAAUUAUAGAAACAUUUACCUGCUGUUGUUUUUUUCAUCUUCUCUCUCUUAGCUUGAGACAACAAAGAUUCAAUAUCUGCAAAAACCAUUUCUUUCGGCCGGUUUCCAUCAAUCUGUACUUCAAGAGUUAGUGAAAAGAUUGAAAGAGAUAACCUGCUGUACGGCCAAGGCGGAUGUACGGUACAGCAGACCAAAAAAAAAAACAAAACAAAUAGGAAGACUUUGCAAGAUUCACAACCAGGUUACAUUUAAUUUAUUAAUUGUGUGUACGUACUAGUUAUUUGUUGAUAGAAUAGGAAGAAGUAUUUUAAUAUGAAUGACUUAAAACUUAUUGCUCAGUAAACAUAAUGUGCAUCAGUGCUAGAAAAUGUAUUUAUUGUUUGUAAUUUUUUAUGGUUUUGCUUAAGAAAUGAAAUGUGAAAAAAUGCUACAUUUUAUUAGGAAUAAAUUGAAGAGAUUUAUGAUUUUUAUGUGUUAUUCAAGUUUCAGAUUCAAUUUUAAACUUUUGAUACAUGCAUUGAAAGCUUAAACUCCUUUAAGAAAUUAUUAAUAGACACAUGUUUUAUUAGUGUCAUCUUUUGGAUGAUAGUGAGGAUCUUAUGUCUAUUAAUAAUUCUUGAAUUAUCUAGGCUUGGACAGUUUGGUAAUGCAUAGAUUUCUAUGGUAGCUAGUGCCUGAAAUUUUUUUCCCACGUAAAAAUGGGUUUUUCAGCAGCUGCUCCUCAUGUUCUCUGGGUGCAUACUAGACAAAUGGGUGUCAUGUGUUGUUUUGGCAUAACACAUAAACACUCAUAUAUCUAUGUCGUGUACUUGAAGAACUAUAGGGAGAUGCUUCCGAAGUUUCUAUAAACGUAGAGGAAAACUUUAGAUACUUAAGAUUGAAGAAACUUAUGCAUUCUUGAGUGGGAUAUAUAGGACCACUUACCUUUUGUAAAUAUGAAGGGAAUGUUGGAUAUAUUGGAGGAGCUGAGUGGGAUGAAUGUAAUCGGUUAUGAUUUUGCUGAGUCGACUUGGUUUUGAGUCUUGUAAUUUUUUUUAUAAAUGGAGUACUAUCUCCAAUGUUGGUUUAUAAAUAUGUUUCAGCUGGCUGACCUAAUUUUUUGUUUCUAGGUAACAGGCUUUAUAUAUCUGUAAUUGAUAGCCAAGUGAAGUUCUCAGCUGUGGGUGAGGAUAUUUCUUUACAGAAGGUAUUGCAAACUGUUUUUUAGAUUAAUUAUUAUUGUAUAUAUACUUUAAUUUUCACAUCUUUUUCUCUGAUUCUUGUGGCUUUGCUUGCUUCCAUAUAUAUAAAACCAUAAAAUUGUAUAAUAAUUUUUUUUAUUAUAUUGCGAAACUGCGCACGCAUGAAAAUAUCUUGUUUAGUAGUAGAAAUGAAGAAUUAAAGUGAUUUAUUUAACUAAUUUUUCCAGUGCUUUAAAAGGAGAUAGUCAUGGACCAGAGUUGGGUUGGUUUGCCAAAUAGAUAUCCAAUUCAUAUACUGAUGGGGG
rnacentral:lncRNA from 1 species